CUGCGUGGAAGGGCCAUCGCUCAACGGAUAAAAGCUACCCUGGGGAUAACAGGCUUAUCUCCCCCAAGAGUCCACAUCGGCGGGGAGGUUUGGCACCUCGAUGUCGGCUCAUCACAUCCUGGGGCUGUAGUAGGUCCCAAGGGUUGGGCUGUUCGCCCAUUAAAGUGGUACGCGAGCUGGGUUCAGAACGUCGUGAGACAGUUCGGUCCCUAUC
rnacentral:rRNA from 1 species